AUAGCGAACAAGUACCGUGAGGGAAAGUUGAAAAGCACUCUGGAGAGAGAGUCAAAAGACCGUGAAACCGCUCAGAGUAUAAGCCCAUGGCAGCUUGGAAGGCAUAUCGCUAGCGGGGCAUCGGUCUCCCUUCACGGGGAGCUGGUGUUACCUUGCUUCUGUUGUGGCUCGUUAUGGUAGGGGGGUCAAGUCCACAUCCCGCCGUCGUGUGGGGAGUUCUUGGGCGCGUUGCGGCUUUGCGGUUGACCUCGGUUGGCCGUGGGGCUCUUCGUGCUUGGCUCUUCUUUAGACACGGACGUUCAGACUCGGUUGCAAGACGCGAUAACCAGCCCACCACGGCACGUUGUGAGGUCACCCACAGGCUCGACUUUCGAUUGUGGUCCUUGACGCCGAGCAAGCACUGUGCGUGUCGCAGAUGUUCCUAACCGGGCAAAACUCGUUUGUCAGGAUCGUGGAACGACACGCGCUCAACAGUCAGGACCGGGCGAUGACAGAGUUCUGGUACGAUCCUCAUGCGACGAGCCGCCUUCUGGCCGAUUUCCGAUGCUCAGGUCUCCCGCAUGUGCCGCGGGAGAUCGCUUUGACGGUCUGGAGCUUUCACAAGUCCUCUCAGUCGGGCAACGGAAAGAGUGGUGUAAAGUCCAAGCCCAUCGGUCACGUCUCGAAACACGGGCCAAGGAGUAUAGCAUGUGUGCAAGUCUAAGGGUCUCACAAAACCCGAAGGCGAAGUGAAAGCAAGUAAGCGGCGGGUGAUCUA
rnacentral:rRNA from 6 species